rnacentral:rRNA from 1 species
AUACGGAGGGUGCAAGCGUUAAUCGCAAUUACUGGGCGUAAAGCGCGCGUAGGCGGUUUGAUAAGUCGGAUGUGAAAUCCCCGGGCUCAACCUGGGAAUUGCAUUCGAUACUGUCAGGCUAGAGUGUGGUAGAGGGAAGUGGAAUUUCCGGUGUAGCGGUGAAAUGCGUAGAUAUCGGAAGGAACACCAGUGGCGAAGGCGGCUUCCUGGACCAACACUGACGCUGAGGUGCGAAAGCGUGGGGAGCAAACAGGAUUAGAAACCCUAGUAGUCC